rnacentral:lncRNA from 1 species
UAAAUGUGUUUUUUAAGUGUUACCUACAACAUUGUUGAAGAAUUCGAAUGCAUUGAAGUAAUUUUGCUUUUGAGAAAUUAAUUUUAUGAAUAGAUAAAGUGGCUGGUUGUGUUUGGGACUAAAUGCCUGUUGGAGAAAUAGGCUAACAAAGGGUGAAGGUGAAGAUCAUUAGAGGUUUUAGAGCUGGCUGAGACGGGUUGCUGGGGUUGUGUAACUGUGCCUAGAGGGCGGGGUUCCUGUACAUUCCUACUUCACCAGAUAACCUGCCCCCAACACCACUCCAGCUUCUGCCAGACAGAUGGAACUCUCCAAUAUGAAAAUCUGCGCAGCCAUUCCAACAAGCAGGACUCUGCGCGAGGUUGUCCGAAAGAUGCGGAGGAAAAAGACUUAAGGACUGGCAGCGCUCUUACCCCAAGAUCGAAGUUUCUCAUUGGUCAGUACAAUGAAGGUUGAUGGCAUGAUGGUCCACCUCGCACCAAAGGAUAACUGUUCAUCGGUGUGCUGUUAACAAUCAGAGGUUUCCAAAUAUAUGUUCUCCAACUCAAUGAAAAGUAGCUGGAUCCAGGCAGAAAGGUGUC